ACUGGGAGCAGUGGCGCCUGUCCGUAGUCCCAGCUACUUGGGAGGUAGAGGCUGAGGCUGGGGCUGGAGGAUCCCUUGAGUCCAGGAGUUCUGGGUUGUAGUGCCUUAUGCCAAAGCGGGUGUCCACACUAAGUUCGGCAUCAAUAUGGUGACCUCCCGGGACCACCAGGUUGCCUAAGGAGGGGUGAACCAGCCCAGGUCAGAAACGGAGCAGGUCGAAACUCCCGUGCUGAUCAGUAGUGGGAUCGCACCUUUGAGUAGCCACUGCGCUCCAGCCUGGGCAACAUGGCAAGAUCCCGUCUCU
rnacentral:SRP_RNA from 1 species